GCAGCGCUAGCCUGAACGGCUUGGUUCUCUCAGAAUCAAUUGGCUUAGUUGUUGCGAUGUUGUGUUUGCAAACUCGUAUUUCGAGUUAGGUAGAAUUUCUACCGUAGUUUAUUGCCCAUUAUCCCUGUGGCGAUAAGACUGCUUCCUGUUUUUUUGACCUGUCUGUCAAAUUUUUAUACACCGCCUAUAUGGCGGGGGGUUUUUUU
rnacentral:other from 1 species